AACGAACGCUGGCGGCAUGCCUAACACACGCAAGUCGAACGAGACCUUCGGGUCUUGUGGCGCACGGGUGCGUAACGCGUGGGAACCUGCCAUUAGGUUCGGAAUAACUCCCCGAAAGGGGUGCUAAUACCGGAACAUGUCUUCGGACCAAAGAUUUAUCGCCUUUGGAUGGGCCGGCGCUGGAUUCGCUAGUUGGCAGGGUAAAAGCGUACCAAGGCGACGAUCUAUAGCUGGUAUGUGAGGAUGAUCAGCCACACUGGGGCUGAGACGCGGCCCAGACUCCUACGGGAGGGAGCAGUGGGGGAUAUAGGACAAUGGGCUAAGUCCUGAUCCAGCAAUGCCGCGUGAGUGAUGAAGGCCUUAGGGUUGUAAAGCUCUUUUACCCGGGAUGAUAAUGACGGUACCGGGAGAAUAAGCUCCGGCUAACUCCGUG
rnacentral:rRNA from 1 species